CGACGGCUAUGAGUAAGACCCGCCCACCGAUCCCGUGCCGCGUCCUAUUGGUUCCGCCGUCCGCUACCCUUUGCCCGAUUGGUGGGAUCCACCUGUCAGUCAUUCCCGUCAGUCUCCCCUACCCCCUCCCCCUCCCGAAGGAUGAGUUGUCGUUGCCAGUCACCGAAUAUUCUCGUUCUUCGUGGUGAAGGCCGACAAUGGUGCAUGUACACCCGCACCCCACAGUAUAUUUGCGAUUAUGUCUACAAAUGAAGUUUUAUCAAGUAACCUAUCAGAGUCAAAUAGUGUACUGGAACUGCCAACUACAUACAGCUUACCACAUAUAGGUGAACAGCUGAUGUUUGAAGAUAUUGUCAGAAAACAUUCAGAUUCUGUUGUUAUCACUUCUGCCUCAGCGACGCCCAUCACAAGUAUAGAUUUCCAACAUGUGCAGAAAGCAUUUUCCUUUUGAGUCCAAAAUGACUGGGUCAAAUAAUUAAAAAGUUAAGGCUCACACCCACAUCACUCCUGUAUUGAGUAAACACUUUGACCUUCUGAACUCAACAUCAAAUUCAAAGGUUGGCUGAAUUGAUCAUUAGUCCAUGCAGUACGUUAGUACUUUCUUGAGACCAGAUCCUAAAUUGUGCCCAGUAAUGUCGAUUUUUAAAAAUGUUCAUAGAUGGAAGAGUAAUUUAAUUCCUUCCAAGUUUCAAUAUGAAAUAAACAAAACAGAGUUCUACUGCAGUCACACUGCUUAGAAGUUGAAAUCUGUGUUUUAAUGAGGCUGUUAUUUCAGCUUAUAUUAAAACACUAGAAAAUUUGAUUUGAUUUGAUUCUCCAAGCCAUACUUGUUUUAACCAGGAUUUGAUUCAGUUUGCAUCCUUGCAAAAUUUACUGUUUAGAUGUUAGUAGGAAAUAUUUUGUAAAUUUUGAAGAAAUUGAGAAUAAUACCACUUUGUUCACUUGUACAAAGGGUAAGGAAAUAAAUGUCAUGUUUUACUUAUUGUUCAAUAAAAAUCAAACAUUUA